UACGGGGGGGGUAAGCGUUGUUCGGAAUUACUGGGCGUAAAGGGCUCGUAGGCGGCCAACUAAGUCAGACGUGAAAUCCCUCGGCUUAACCGGGGAACUGCGUCUGAUACUGGAUGGCUUGAAUCCGGGAGAGGGAUGCGGAAUUCCAGGUGUAGCGGUGAAAUGCGUAGAUAUCUGGAGGAAUACCGGUGGCGAAGGCGGCAUCCUGGACCGGUAUUGACGCUGAGGCGCGAAAGCCAGGGAGGCAAAGCGGG
rnacentral:rRNA from 1 species